rnacentral:rRNA from 1 species
GAUGAACGCUGGCGGCGUGCUUAACACAUGCAAGUCGAACGAUGAAGCCCAGCUUGCUGGGUGGAUUAGUGGCGAACGGGUGAGUAACACGUGAGUAACCUGCCCUUAACUCUGGGAUAAGCCUGGGAAACUGGGUCUAAUACCGGAUAGGAGCGCCUACCGCAUGGUGGGUGUUGGAAAGAUUUAUCGGUUUUGGAUGGACUCGCGGCCUAUCAGCUUGUUGGUGAGGUAAUGGCUCACCAAGGCAACGACGGGUAGCCGGCCUGAGAGGGUGACCGGCCACACUGGGACUGAGACACGGCCCAGACUCCUACGGGAGGCAGCAGUGGGGAAUAUUGCACAAUGGGCGAAAGCCUGAUGCAGCGACGCCGCGUGAGGGAUGACGGCCUUCGGGUUGUAAACCUCUUUCAGUAGGGAAGAAGCGAAAGUGACGGUACCUGCAGAAGAAGCACCGGCUAACUACGUGCCAGCAGCCGCGGUAAUACGUAGGGUGCGAGCGUUAUCCGGAAUUAUUGGGCGUAAAGAGCUCGUAGGCGGUUUGUCGCGUCUGUCGUGAAAGUCCGGGGCUUAACCCCGGAUCUGCGGUGGGUACGGGCAGACUAGAGUGCAGUAGGGGAGACUGGAAUUCCUGGUGUAGCGGUGGAAUGCGCAGAUAUCAGGAGGAACACCGAUGGCGAAGGCAGGUCUCUGGGCUGUAACUGACGCUGAGGAGCGAAAGCAUGGGGAGCGAACAGGAUUAGAUACCCUGGUAGUCCAUGCCGUAAACGUUGGGCACUAGGUGUGGGGACCAUUCCACGGUUUCCGCGCCGCAGCUAACGCAUUAAGUGCCCCGCCUGGGAAGUACGGCCGCAAGGCUAAAACUCAAAGGAAUUGGCGGGGGCCCGCACAAGCGGCGGAGCAUGCGGAUUAAUUCGAUGCAACGCGAAGAACCUUACCAAGGCUUGACAUGUUCCCGAUCGCCGUAGAGAUACGGUUUCCCCUUUGGGGCGGGUUCACAGGUGGUGCAUGGUUGUCGUCAGCUCGUGUCGUGAGAUGUUGGGUUAAGUCCCGCAACGAGCGCAACCCUCGUUCCAUGUUGCCAGCACGUAAUGGUGGGGACUCAUGGGAGACUGCCGGGGUCAACUCGGAGGAAGGUGAGGACGACGUCAAAUCAUCAUGCCCCUUAUGUCUUGGGCUUCACGCAUGCUACAAUGGCCGGUACAAUGGGUUGCGAUACUGUGAGGUGGAGCUAAUCCCAAAAAGCCGGUCUCAGUUCGGAUUGGGGUCUGCAACUCGACCCCAUGAAGUCGGAGUCGCUAGUAAUCGCAGAUCAGCAACGCUGCGGUGAAUACGUUCCUGGGCCU